AGUGAACGCUGGCGGCGUGCCUAAUACAUGCAAGUCGAACGAUGAAGCUUCUAGCUUGCUAGAAUGCUGAUUAGUGGCGCACGGGUGAGUAACGCAUAGGUCAUGUGCCUCUUAGUUUGGGAUAGCCAUUGGAAACGAUGAUUAAUACCAGAUACUCCCUACGGGGGAAAGAUUUAUCGCUAAGAGAUCAGCCUAUGUCCUAUCAGCUUGUUGGUAAGGUAAUGGCUUACCAAGGCUAUGACGGGUAUCCGGCCUGAGAGGGUGAACGGACACACUGGAACUGAGACACGGUCCAGACUCCUACGGGAGGCAGCAGUAGGGAAUAUUGCUCAAUGGGGGAAACCCUGAAGCAGCAACGCCGCGUGGAGGAUGAAGGUUUUAGGAUUGUAAACUCCUUUUGUUAGAGAAGAUAAUGACGGUAUCUAACGAAUAAGCACCGGCUAACUCCGUGCCAGCAGCCGCGGUAAUACGGAGGGUGCAAGCGUUACUCGGAAUCACUGGGCGUAAAGAGCGCGUAGGCGGGAUAGUCAGUCAGGUGUGAAAUCCUAUGGCUUAACCAUAGAACUGCAUUUGAAACUACUAUUCUAGAGUGUGGGAGAGGUAGGUGGAAUUCUUGGUGUAGGGGUAAAAUCCGUAGAGAUCAAGAGGAAUACUCAUUGCGAAGGCGACCUGCUGGAACAUUACUGACGCUGAUUGCGCGAAAGCGUGGGGAGCAAACAGGAUUAGAUACCCUGGUAGUCCACGCCCUAAACGAUGGAUGCUAGUUGUUGGAGGGCUUAGUCUCUCCAGUAAUGCAGCUAACGCAUUAAGCAUCCCGCCUGGGGAGUACGGUCGCAAGAUUAAAACUCAAAGGAAUAGACGGGGACCCGCACAAGCGGUGGAGCAUGUGGUUUAAUUCGAAGAUACACGAAGAACCUUACCUAGGCUUGACAUUGAGAGAAUCCGCUAGAAAUAGUGGAGUGUCUGGCUUGCCAGACCUUGAAAACAGGUGCUGCACGGCUGUCGUCAGCUCGUGUCGUGAGAUGUUGGGUUAAGUCCCGCAACGAGCGCAACCCCCUUUCUUAGUUGCUAACAGGUCAUGCUGAGAACUCUAAGGAUACUGCCUCCGUAAGGAGGAGGAAGGUGGGGACGACGUCAAGUCAUCAUGGCCCUUACGCCUAGGGCUACACACGUGCUACAAUGGGGUGCACAAAGAGAAGCAAUACUGCGAAGUGGAGCCAAUCUUCAAAACACCUCUCAGUUCGGAUUGUAGGCUGCAACUCGCCUGCAUGAAGCUGGAAUCGCUAGUAAUCGCAAAUCAGCCAUGUUGCGGUGAAUACGUUCCCGGGUCUUGUACUCACCGCCCGUCACACCAUGGGAGUUGUGUUUGCCUUAAGUCAGGAUGCUAAAUUGGCUACUGCCCACGGCACACACAGCGACUGGGGUG
rnacentral:rRNA from 1 species